AAAAAAGUAGGGGCCUGUUGCCUUUUGUGAAUGGGUCUUUUGUAAACUUCAACAAAAUUAGUUGUUGGUUGAAUCUCUUAGAGUUUUGUCUAUUGUUAAAGGUAUAGUAAGCUAUGAUCUAUAG
rfam:Vitis vinifera, whole genome shotgun sequence of line PN40024, unoriented chromosome 9, chr9